UGUUUGAUUUCGAGUUCUCGGUUGCGCGGGUUCUACUUCAUCCCUGCCAAUCCACUUUUCGGCUGAAGAUCUGAUAUGUUUUUGGGUUUCGUUUCAGAUAACCCCUCAAUUCCCUUUCCUUUCCUUUCCAUCCGAUGGUUAAUUAUCCCCUGAAUCAUGUUUGCAGCCUUGAUCGGAAGAGAAUCUAGAUGCUACGAUAGAUUCUCUAUUGAAUCUGGUGAAGCAAAUCAGGCUUGCUGGUGAUGUGGCAAGAACGAAGAAAGCUGUUCUUGACAUAGUGGAUAUUGUGCUACAAAGCACGCGCAUGGAAGACUCUGAAUGAUCAAAUUGUUCUCCUGUCAAAGAGGAGAGGACUGCUUAAGUAGAUGGUUUCCUUUGUGAGAUAAUUCUCUUUUGAUUCGGUUGGGAGGAAGAUCAGCUGUUGGGGCGUCUAUCUGUUACAUCGUCGUCAAAGUGUGAAGACUUGUUGUUUCAUCUUUUUAUGAGAUAAUUCUCUUUGAUUCUGCCAAAGCUGAUGGCUGCUUGAAUCGAUUCAAUCUUGGGAAAAUUGCAGUGCAGGGAGAGGAGGUGAGGGAACCAAAUCUCGGCAAGGCACCUCGAACAUCGCCGGCACCCUACUACUACUUCCGUCUUUGACGACUAGCUUUUCGUUUAUGCAAUGCACCACACGAGUAGCUACAGGAAUCCAUCCAUCCAUCGCUGCUGCAACAAGUCCAACAUGGGUAGGCUACAGGAAUCCUCAACCUUCGUCACUACGACAAGUCUCACACCAGCGGUCUCCGAUAAGCGGAUGACACCAUGUUUACUUUCCGACAAGUACUUGAAGAGAGCCAAUUGUUGAAGCGGCCGGUCUUUUUGGCAGAAAUCAGGCGGUGCACGUACUUUUUGCAUGGAGAAGUGAGAUCUCUCUGGUCAUGCGAUACUGUAUGCACCCUACACUGCCACUAAGAAUGCGGUGAUCUUUUAGACGAGUGAGCAUUUUUAAUCUCAGAACCAAUCAGAGACAGUGAGGAGACAUUCGAACGAAUACGUACUGUUAUUACUAUA